rfam:Lactobacillus animalis strain 381-IL-28 NODE_24_length_1578_cov_114.721802, whole genome shotgun sequence.
UAAAUUGAGAGUUUGAUCCUGGCUCAGGAUGAACGCUGGCGGCGUGCCUAAUACAUGCAAGUCGAACGAAACUUCUUUAUCACCGAGUGCUUGCACUCACCGAUAAAGAGUUGAGUGGCGAACGGGUGAGUAACACGUGGGCAACCUGCCCAAAAGAGGGGGAUAACACUUGGAAACAGGUGCUAAUACCGCAUAACCAUAGUUACCGCAUGGUAACUAUGUAAAAGGUGGCUAUGCUACCGCUUUUGGAUGGGCCCGCGGCGCAUUAGCUAGUUGGUGAGGUAAAGGCUUACCAAGGCAAUGAUGCGUAGCCGAACUGAGAGGUUGAUCGGCCACAUUGGGACUGAGACACGGCCCAAACUCCUACGGGAGGCAGCAGUAGGGAAUCUUCCACAAUGGGCGAAAGCCUGAUGGAGCAACGCCGCGUGGGUGAAGAAGGUCUUCGGAUCGUAAAACCCUGUUGUUAGAGAAGAAAGUGCGUGAGAGUAACUGUUCACGUUUCGACGGUAUCUAACCAGAAAGCCACGGCUAACUACGUGCCAGCAGCCGCGGUAAUACGUAGGUGGCAAGCGUUAUCCGGAUUUAUUGGGCGUAAAGGGAACGCAGGCGGUCUUUUAAGUCUGAUGUGAAAGCCUUCGGCUUAACCGGAGUAGUGCAUUGGAAACUGGGAGACUUGAGUGCAGAAGAGGAGAGUGGAACUCCAUGUGUAGCGGUGAAAUGCGUAGAUAUAUGGAAGAACACCAGUGGCGAAAGCGGCUCUCUGGUCUGUAACUGACGCUGAGGUUCGAAAGCGUGGGUAGCAAACAGGAUUAGAUACCCUGGUAGUCCACGCCGUAAACGAUGAAUGCUAAGUGUUGGAGGGUUUCCGCCCUUCAGUGCUGCAGCUAACGCAAUAAGCAUUCCGCCUGGGGAGUACGACCGCAAGGUUGAAACUCAAAGGAAUUGACGGGGGCCCGCACAAGCGGUGGAGCAUGUGGUUUAAUUCGAAGCAACGCGAAGAACCUUACCAGGUCUUGACAUCUUCUGACAAUCCUAGAGAUAGGACUUUCCCUUCGGGGACAGAAUGACAGGUGGUGCAUGGUUGUCGUCAGCUCGUGUCGUGAGAUGUUGGGUUAAGUCCCGCAACGAGCGCAACCCUUAUUGUUAGUUGCCAGCAUUAAGUUGGGCACUCUAGCAAGACUGCCGGUGACAAACCGGAGGAAGGUGGGGAUGACGUCAAAUCAUCAUGCCCCUUAUGACCUGGGCUACACACGUGCUACAAUGGACGGUACAACGAGUCGCAAGACCGCGAGGUUUAGCAAAUCUCUUAAAGCCGUUCUCAGUUCGGAUUGUAGGCUGCAACUCGCCUACAUGAAGUCGGAAUCGCUAGUAAUCGCGGAUCAGCAUGCCGCGGUGAAUACGUUCCCGGGCCUUGUACACACCGCCCGUCACACCAUGAGAGUUUGUAACACCCAAAGCCGGUGGGGUAACCUUUUGGAGCCAGCCGUCUAAGGUGGGACAGAUGAUUGGGGUGAAGUCGUAACAAGGUAGCCGUAGGAGAACCUGCGGCUGGAUCACCUCCUUU